UAAUAAAUAACCGAAAAUAAACGGGUAAAAUACGGUAGUGAUAAAAAUAAACCCAGUAAAUAUUAGGAUCUAAAUAAGUAAGCCUAAUAUUAACUAAAAAGUGAAUCAAAGCUUUGGAGGAAAUAAAGCUUAUAAAAGACCCGAGGUAACGGGGUGUAUGUAACACCCUAAAACAUAAAUCCUUUUAUUAUAAAUCCGAGUUUAAUAAUUGUAACAUCCCUAUUUUCAUAAUAAAUAAAAACUGACAAAACUUCCUAACUAUGUAUUUUAUCUAUGAUAAAUAAAACAAUAUUGUUGUAGCAUAUAAGGUUUCAAUUAAAAACCUUAUUUAGAAACUUAGUAGAGAGUAUUUUGUAAAUGAUCAAGAAGGAGGGGUGAAUGUGGAAAUAUGAGUUAUAGUUAACUAAAUAAGUCAAGAGGAAAAGAAACCUCCAGAACCUUGAUACGUGCGACGAUGGAGAAAAAGAGACCAAGAGAAAGUGAUUUCCAACUUGAAAUCUGGAAAUUCAAAGUGCAAAUCUUGUUAAUGCAAGUUUAUAAUCUGAUUUCUAGCAUCAUCAUCUCUUUUUUUUUGAAUUUAGAAGAUUAGCUAAAAUCCAACAAGGAACACAAGGUGGAAGCUUUGGGCAAACAAGGUAAGUGAUUUUUUGUAAUCACUUCUUAUUUUAUUUAAGUAAAGUAGCGUUAGUUGAUUAAGCAUGAUGAGGCUUGAAGUUUCAUAUGGUUUUGGUCGUAUGAAAUUGGUAAUUUUAGCUUAGUAGACCGAAUGAGACAAUAUAAAGUUGUAAUGAUAUGACGAAUAAUAUCUAAGUAAUGGCUACGAUAUGUAACCGGGUAAUGGGUAAAAUUGCACAUAAGUGCACCAACCGAGAAUGGGGACUUAGGUUAAUGGGUCAAAGUGAAGGUAUAUUUUAGCACGGAAUGUUUGUACAAGCAAUGUCGAUAAUAUUUCAUGUGCUCGGUUAGUGUAAGGUGUUAUAACAUUAACAUUAUGUGAGCCUUAAGUGUAAACAUAUGAGUUGUUGAUAAAUGCAUGACGGGUCGAAUAAUUCGUAAUGAAUAAUAAGCCGAAAAUGUAUAAGUUAAGAAUUUCCUUAACCCGGAUGUUGGAUUUUAAGUUCACAUAAUAGAAUGUUAAUUUACAAUCAUGUAGGAAGAAACGAGAGGUUAAUCGGGUAAACGGUUUAAAAGCUAUGCAAGUUUUUGUGCGUGCGAACGACAAAACAACACAGCAGAAAAAUGGCAAAACUAGAGGCCGUCACCGACGCCCCUAUGGGCCGUCGCCGACGCCUUGUGCAUUUUCAGUUUUCUCCAACGCCUAAUUUUCCUGUCUACGGAGGUUUCUGGCUACGCGAAAAACUAAUAGCCGUCGCCGACGCCCUAUAGGGCCGUCGCCGACGGCCUCCACAUGUUUUAAAUGCUGAAAUUCGUUAAUUAAGUUAUUUUGUGUACCGUAAGCUUCGGUAUAUUAACCGUGGUCUACGACGGGCCUCCCAAACAUAAUUUUGAAUGUUUCCUUGAUGUUUUUGGAUCAUAAAUCCAAGUCUAAGCACUCCAUAAUUAAUGUACGAGUAUGAUAAGUGAAUGCGAAUAAGUUAAAUCAAGAAUUGAAUGUAAGUAAGUAUGUGUAGACAUGAUUAUGUAAGCAUUUAGUUAUGUAUAUAGAUAAGUAGAUGUGUAGAUAUGUAGGUGCGUAUGAUUAGACGUAUGAAUAUACGAAUGCACGAAGUAGGAUUUAUCGCCUAUGAAAAGAAUGGGACAGGUAUGCAUGUAUACAUGGUUUCAAUACGUUUGAGUAUGGACGUUACUAAUGAUGUGCUUGAGAUUGGAAUGUAAUGCAGGAAUGAGAACGUCAGACUCUUGUAGAAUUGAAGCCGAACCUGGAAGCCGAACUCGAAACAAAGGAAUCCGAGAGGAUAGUCGAAUGAAUUAAAGUUUAUGUUGUUGAAUGUUAUAUGAUUUUUAAUUGCACCAGAUUAUUGUUGUAUGAUGUUGUCAAUGACUAAUGGUUAUGUUGUAUGUGAUGUCCACAGGUACUACACGGAUUUCUUCUACCACUAUCGAAGAUAAGCGGGCAUAGAUCGAGUCGAAUAACAAGGAUUGUACGGAAAGAACGGUUACGUAGUCUUAAUUUUGUAACGCAUUAAUUUGUAAAAAGGGAAGUGAAUUUUGUAAGCUUCUUCUUGAAUGUGUGUAUUAUUUUAAGAUCGUAAAGGAAUUUUUAAAGCUAUUUUUCCGCUGCGUUAUCUUUAAGUUCUUACACGAUGAUCUUACAGGGAAUCGUUCUUAUUACGAACGGGUCAUGCCCGAAUUUUUCUUAAAUAAUAAUAUGGUAAUAUUACUUUUCGGAUUAAGAAAUAUGGGCGUUACAAGUUGGUAUCAGAGCCCUGGUUUGAGGGAAAUCAAGUAUGAGGAGGCAAAUACUUGAACUCAAACCUGUGUGCUCUUGUGACAAGGAACCCGUACAAUCCAAGACUCAGAUCAAGAUCUAAAGGUAGAAGCAAAUGUAAGUAUGAAUUUAAGUAUGUUUAUGAAGAAACUAACAUUAUGUUGUGUGUGUAAGAUAAGCAUAGUUGUUUGGAUGAGGAUGAUUCACGACUGUGGUCUCCGACCGACACCAAGGCACGCAGUAAGAUAAAUUGAUUCCAGGUACGUAGAUUCAAUAUAUGUAAGUACAUGUAAUGGUAAAACCUAUCAACAGAAGAAGAAUUUUAAAUGAAAGAUAAUAAUGGGAUAGUAAUGAAGUUUUGAAAAUGCUACACGUGCCGAAACUUAAUUCUUCGGACAUAAGGUGGCGAUUACACGAAGACACGAAACUAGUAUGUGGAUCGUGUACCUGGCCAGUACACAAUAAACAUAUGACGUUCGUGAGACCGUGAUAAUUGUUACAGGUAUGUCCGCUAGAAGUAGGUAGUAGAUGGACGUGGGGGUUAAGAGGAGUGUAAGACUUUCAGGAAUGAAAGCAUGAAUGAUGUGCUAGAAUCCGCGAGACGGAUUCGAAGCAUGAAAGGAAUGAAAGCAUGAAUGAUGUGCUAGAAUCCGCGAGACGGAUUCGAAGCAUGAAAGGAAUGAAAGCAUGAAUGAUGUGCUAGAAUCCGCGAGACGGAUUCGAAGCAUGAAAGGAAUGGAAGCAUGAAUGAUAUGUUAGAAACCGCGAGACGGAUUCAAAGCAUAGAAGGGAAUGAAUUAUAAGAAUGAAAGGUUUAAAUUCGUAAGUAAUUACGUACCAAACAAGUAAAUAUUCUUUAGAAAGUGGAUAUUACUUAAGUUAUGUUUUGAACGUCUAUCUAUAUAAAUAUUUAUGUGAAUACGUUGUAUGCAAGAUGGUUGAGAUGUAUAAAUGAGUCAUACGGGUCAAAUGGGGAUUGCCAUUGAACCCGAUAUUUAAUGUUUUAAAUUAUCAAGUCUUAUAAUUGUAGGCAAACAUAAUGCAUGAUCAUCCAAUGCCACAGAUUGGAAAGAAAUAACCAUCGUAAGUUAUGGAUAACGAGUCAAAGGUUUCGAUUCGCGCAAGGUAUGUACAAAUUUAUGCUUUCUUUUGAGUAGGGGCUUAUAGCUCGACUAGAGAGGGAUGUGCCAGAAAUGGGUAGUUGGUAGACAUAUGGUCAGAAUGUAGUUUACAAUUGGAUUUCCGAACAAGUUAAACAAAGUAGGUGAUAGUUGCUAAGCAGGUAUUAGUAAAAUUAGCAUGAAGUAUUUGAUUUACUAUGUAGGUAAAGCCAAUGUAAGCUAUUGUAGUAGCAAGAAACCUUAGCUGAAAGAAAUGAGCUGUGAGCAAGUUACAUGAAAGGUAUAUUACUAAAUGACUCUUGUGGGUCAGAAUGAAUGACGGGCUACGACCCGAACAAAAACUUAAGUAUGGACGGGAAGGGUAAGUUUUGCAAGAAGAACGGAAAGGAUGUAUUAAAGUACUUGUAUGUAAGCAUGAAUGGAAAGAAAUACAAUCGUGUAUUUCAUUACAUCCAUGAUAAUUAUGAAACGUUAGUUAGACCUUGGAAAGCCAACUGUAAUGGGUCGGUGAAAUAAUUAACAAAACGAAGGAAUUGUGGGUGUUUAUAACACUAAACAGAAUAAAUUGGAAAGAAUGUAAUAAUGAUAAAUACCAACAGAAAAUGCUAACCUUGAUGCUAGGUUUGUUGGCCAUGUUCAUUUAAACAAGAUAUUGUUAGAAGGAAGCCCAUGAGCGGAAGCCAUUCAUGAAAGGAAGGGAAUCGAACCGGCCUUGACACGGACUCAUUCAGAAGCGGGCCAAUCCGGUUUGCAGAUCGUUAAGUUAUACAAUGAAGGUGAGGUUAGUAAAAUGUUUAAUUCUAGAUUGAAAGGUAGGAAUCUGUGAAUUAUUUGUACAUAUGAAUGAAAUGAAGGGUAGGACAAAUAUAGUAUAGUAUGAAAUAACCGACUAGCAAUGGUCAUCUUUAGAAAGUAUUUAUGUCAAUAAGAGGAAGAUUUAAGGACCCUGAAUGAAAACUUGGAACUAGUUGAUUAAUGCUCAUAUGUUGCUCUUUGCACGACAUGCCGGUUUAGUAUAAGGAAGUAAUGUGAAAGAUUAAAUAUAAGGUUAGACAUAAGGUUGUAAGUAGUUCAAGUGGCGGUAGAAAAGUAGAUUAAUGAUUGAUCCUCAUAACAAGUACGGAUAAUGAGAUUUAAAAAUGAUAGUUAUGAUAGAAUGUUGAUGCUUGGAUGUCUACGGUAAUGCGUACUAUCAUACGCUCACUUCACAUAGGGACAUGAAGGAACCUAGAAAGGAUGUUAGUUCAAAUUAUGGAAUAUGGGAUGUGUCACAAACGUCAAUUCCUCACAACAUACUUAUGUAAGUCGUCCAAUGUAACCUGAAUGAAUAAACGAACGAAGAGUAAGACUAGACGGGUUAUAGAAGGAAUGACAGAGGUUUCGGGGACGAAACCUUCUUUAAGGGGGGUAGACUUGUAACACCCCAAAAACGGGUUUAUUUAUUUAUAAUAAAUAACCGAAAAUAAACGGGUAAAAUACGGUAGUGAUAAAAAUAAACCCAGUAAAUAUUAGGAUCUAAAUAAGUAAGCCUAAUAUUAACUAAAAAGUGAAUCAAAGCUUUGGAGGAAAUAAAGCUUAUAAAAGACCCGAGGUAACGGGGUGUAUGUAACACCCUAAAACAUAAAUCCUUUUAUUAUAAAUCCGAGUUUAAUAAUUGUAACAUCCCUAUUUUCAUAAUAAAUAAAAACUGACAAAACUUCCUAACUAUGUAUUUUAUCUAUGAUAAAUAAAACAAUAUUGUUGUAGCAUAUAAGGUUUCAAUUAAAAACCUUAUUUAGAAACUUAGUAGAGAGUAUUUUGUAAAUGAUCAAGAAGGAGGGGUGAAUGUGGAAAUAUGAGUUAUAGUUAACUAAAUAAGUCAAGAGGAAAAGAAACCUCCAGAACCUUGAUACGUGCGACGAUGGAGAAAAAGAGACCAAGAGAAAGUGAUUUCCAACUUGAAAUCUGGAAAUUCAAAGUGCAAAUCUUGUUAAUGCAAGUUUAUAAUCUGAUUUCUAGCAUCAUCAUCUCUUUUUUUUUGAAUUUAGAAGAUUAGCUAAAAUCCAACAAGGAACACAAGGUGGAAGCUUUGGGCAAACAAGGUAAGUGAUUUUUUGUAAUCACUUCUUAUUUUAUUUAAGUAAAGUAGCGUUAGUUGAUUAAGCAUGAUGAGGCUUGAAGUUUCAUAUGGUUUUGGUCGUAUGAAAUUGGUAAUUUUAGCUUAGUAGACCGAAUGAGACAAUAUAAAGUUGUAAUGAUAUGACGAAUAAUAUCUAAGUAAUGGCUACGGUAUGUAACCGGGUAAUGGGUAAAAUUGCACAUAAGUGCACCAACCGAGAAUGGGGACUUAGGUUAAUGGGUCAAAGUGAAGGUAUAUUUUAGCACGGAAUGUUUGUACAAGCAAUGUCGAUAAUAUUUCAUGUGCUCGGUUAGUGUAAGGUGUUAUAACAUUAACAUUAUGUGAGCCUUAAGUGUAAACAUAUGAGUUGUUGAUAAAUGCAUGACGGGUCGAAUAAUUCGUAAUGAAUAAUAAGCCGAAAAUGUAUAAGUUAAGAAUUUCCUUAACCCGGAUGUUGGAUUUUAAGUUCACAUAAUAGAAUGUUAAUUUACAAUCAUGUAGGAAGAAACGGGAGGUUAAUCGGGUAAACGGUUUAAAAGCUAUGCAAGUUUUUGUGCGUGCGAACGACAAAACAACACAGCAGAAAAAUGGCAAAACUAGAGGCCGUCACCGACGCCCCUAUGGGCCGUCGCCGACGCCUUGUGCAUUUUCAGUUUUCUCCAACGCCUAAUUUUCCUGUCUACGGAGGUUUCUGGCUACGCGAAAAACUAAUAGCCGUCGCCGACGCCCUAUAGGGCCGUCGCCGACGGCCUCCACAUGUUUUAAAUGCUGAAAUUCGUUAAUUAAGUUAUUUUGUGUACCGUAAGCUUCGGUAUAUUAACCGUGGUCUACGACGGGCCUCCCAAACAUAAUUUUGAAUGUUUCCUUGAUGUUUUUGGAUCAUAAAUCCAAGUCUAAGCACUCCAUAAUUAAUGUACGAGUAUGAUAAGUGAAUGCGAAUAAGUUAAAUCAAGAAUUGAAUGUAAGUAAGUAUGUGUAGACAUGAUUAUGUAAGCAUUUAGUUAUGUAUAUAGAUAAGUAGAUGUGUAGAUAUGUAGGUGCGUAUGAUUAGACGUAUGAAUAUACGAAUGCACGAAGUAGGAUUUAUCGCCUAUGAAAAGAAUGGGACAGGUAUGCAUGUAUACAUGGUUUCAAUACGUUUGAGUAUGGACGUUACUAAUGAUGUGCUUGAGAUUGGAAUGUAAUGCAGGAAUGAGAACGUCAGACUCUUGUAGAAUUGAAGCCGAACCUGGAAGCCGAACUCGAAACAAAGGAAUCCGAGAGGAUAGUCGAAUGAAUUAAAGUUUAUGUUGUUGAAUGUUAUAUGAUUUUUAAUUGCACCAGAUUAUUGUUGUAUGAUGUUGUCAAUGACUAAUGGUUAUGUUGUAUGUGAUGUCCACAGGUACUACACGGAUUUCUUCUACCACUAUCGAAGAUAAGCGGGCAUAGAUCGAGUCGAAUAACAAGGAUUGUACGGAAAGAACGGUUACGUAGUCUUAAUUUUGUAAUGCAUUAAUUUGUAAAAAGGGAAGUGAAUUUUGUAAGCUUCUUCUUGAAUGUGUGUAUUAUUUUAAGAUCGUAAAGGAAUUUUUAAAGCUAUUUUUCCGCUGCGUUA